rnacentral:rRNA from 1 species
AUGGCUCCCCCGAAAGGACGCGCCAUGGUACACUCUGUCGGCCUCGUCGUCGUCCUCCUCGCCGCGUCCGCCGUCGUGGCGCUCGCCGCCCAGGCUCCGGCUCCGGCGGCCUCCGCGAAGUCCGGUUCAGCUGCAGCACCCCCAAAGGCCUCGGCAAAGGCUCCGGCUGCGGUCCCCGAAAAGAGCGCGAAAGCUUCAACGGCGGCGGCCGCAACGUCCACGGCUACACCCAAGGCUGCACCGCCCAAGGCGCCCGCGAAGGGGUCUGGCGCCGAGUCGCCGAGCAAAGGCGCCAUGCCGUCCAAGGCCCCGGCCAGCUCGUCCGAAGCCGAAGCCGCCGAGUCUCCAGACGGCGGCGCCACCGACGAGGAUGAUUCAUCCGCCGCGACGCCGUCUUCCUCGUUGUCGGACGAUGACUCCGACGACUCCGACAGCCCGCCAGGGCCCGCCAGCUCGCCAGACUCAGACUCGCCAGCUGACUCGCCUGACCCCGCCGCAGACGACGAGGAGAGCGGCAGCGUCGGCGUGAGGAGUGGCGUGGUGGCUUCCGUCGUGGCCGUGGCCACCUCAGCCUCCGUCGUGCUUUUAUUUUAG